CGCCUGUUUAUCAAAAACAUCUUUUCUUGUUAGUUUUUGAAGUAUGGCCUGCCCGCUGACUUUGGUGUUGAAGGGCCGCGGUAUUUUGACCGUGCAAAGGUAGCAUAGUCAUUAGUUCUUUAAUUGUGAUCUGGUAUGAAUGGCUUGACGAGGCAUGGGCUGUCUUAAUUUUAAAUUGCUUAUUGAAUUUGGUCUUUGAGUUAAAAUUCUUAGAUGUUUUUAUGGGACGAGAAGACCCUAUAGAGUUUGACAUUUAUUAUGGUCUCUUUCUGUUUGUGAGGGUUCACUGGGCCAUUUAAUAUGUUUUGUUGGGGUGAUGGGAGGGAUAUUAUUUAACCCCUCCUUUGUGUUGUUAUAUUUAUUUAUAUUUGUUUGAUCCAUUUAUUUUGAUUGUAAGAUUAAAUUACCUUAGGGAUAACAGCGUAA
rnacentral:rRNA from 1 species